CUGUUGGUAAUCAAUAUGAAACAGUAAAUAAUCCAUCAACAAGUGAUGAAAGUAAACCAUCAACAAGCAAAGCACCACCACCUGUAUAUUCCCUCGAUCGAUAGAGAAAACAGAAAGGAAAUCCGUUAUGCUCCUCACUUGAUUUAAAAGAUGUCCCUUAAAAAAACCCUGCCCAAAAUCGUCCUGCACCAACUGAAUACGCCAGGAUUGAUAUGAGUAAACUGGCACCUGUCGAGAAAAAAGACGACAAGAAAGGUGAUGACAAAAAAGGCGAUGAAAAGAAGGAAUAAACUGGCGAUCGUCGUUAAUAAAACAAGAGUACGUAAAGACUGUUACUACAUUUAUAAAGUUUUAUUUUGUUCUUCAUUAGAUAAUCUAGAUUUGAUCUCUAAACAGUAUUAAACUGAAUACUUUAUGAUUGUGUCUGUGUACAUAAUCUUUUGCCGUGAACAAACUUGAAUCUUGGCAUCUAUGCUACAGUUUGUGAAUGUGUAUUUUACUUGCCUUUAUAAGGCAACAACAUUACACACUGACUUUAACACAGCAUUUUGAAUAGAAUAUUGUUUUAAUCGUAGUUUUACUUUUAUUAUUUUAAUUAUCAUGGUUAAACCAUUUAAACUUUUAUUUACAUAGAAAUUAAGUGUAGAAAUUAGAGAAAUCAAGCAAUUUCAAGGAGUGUGAUGGAAAACUCUUUAAAUUUCUUCUUUACGAUUGAAUGAUUUCAUAUGCAUUAGUGUAAGGGAUGUUUACGAAUAAAACAAUUUCGUGAUCAUUAUUAUUUUUGCUUGUUUAUUUUCGUGUCUACUGUAGAUGUGAGAUUUUACCUACCCCCAAAGACAAGCUAACAUUGAGUGGCUUUGUUUCAGCAAGCUUGGGCGGUAAAGAAAUUUUUUAAUUUAAAAAUUUCUAGGAAGACAGCAAACUGCCAUUAAAAACAAUUUAGUGAACAAAAUGUAACUAAAUUUUAAUGUGUGAGUCACUGCACAAUGGAUUGUGCUAUCCUUCCUUCGUAUAAACAAUGCUUCAAUUCCAUAAACAUCAAUUGUAGUUUUCAGCAAGCAAAUAUCUCAAUUAUGCUCAUCAGUGGACAAUAUUCAUUGAUCUUUAAUGAUAAUCAAUGACAGGUGAGCAGGAUAGCCUAAGGUAGAAGAUAGCCUAAAUAUAUAUAUACCGCAGAAUGCAGAUUUUCAAUUAUUUCUUACACUAAAAUGAUUCGUAAAAUUCAAAUGUCUUACUUGGGAGUGAAUACGCUUUAUUUUAAACCGGAUUUGCAAUUCUAUAUUGUCCCCUUAUUUACUAAAAUUUUGUAAAAUUUUCUGUCAUUUAAGAUUCUAAGCUAAUGGGAAAACAAUGUAAAUACAACGAUUAAAAGAAAUUAUAGAACAUUACUUUUGUACUUUUAA